GUGUUGUAUGAAAGGAGAGAAAGCUUAGCACUCCCGUAUAAGAACAGAAGGGACCACUGGGCCUAACACCUUCUAUAAGGUUAAAGCAUUGCCACACUUUGCAACAUCUAGCCACUUAAACAU
rnacentral:ncRNA from 1 species